rnacentral:rRNA from 1 species
ACCAGGCGUCGAGCGGCGGACGGGUGAGUAAUACUUAGGAAUCUACCUAGUAGUGGGGGAUAGCACGGGGAAACUCGUAUUAAUACCGCAUACGACCUACGGGAGAAAGGGGGCAGUUUACUGCUCUCGCUAUUAGAUGAGCCUAAGUCGGAUUAGCUAGAUGGUGGGGUAAAGGCCUACCAUGGCGACGAUCUGUAGCUGGUCUGAGAGGAUGAUCAGCCACACCGGGACUGAGACACGGCCCGGACUCCUACGGGAGGCAGCAGUGGGGAAUAUUGGACAAUGGGGGAAACCCUGAUCCAGCCAUGCCGCGUGUGUGAAGAAGGCCUUUUGGUUGUAAAGCACUUUAAGCAGUGAAGAAGACUCUUCGGUUAAUACCCGGAGACGAUGACAUUAGCUGCAGAAUAAGCACCGGCUAACUCUGUGCCAGCAGCCGCGGUAAUACAGAGGGUGCAAGCGUUAAUCGGAAUUACUGGGCGUAAAGCGAGCGUAGGUGGCUUGAUAAGUCAGAUGUGAAAUCCCCGGGCUUAACCUGGGAACUGCAUCUGAAACUGUUAGGCUAGAGUAGGUGAGAGGGAAGUAGAAUUUCAGGUGUAGCG